AGAGGUUACAGAGGGUUGAUGGUGUUGAUGACUGGCAGGAUAACUCAUGCGAGAUAGAUGAUCCGAGGUGGCUGCAAGAGACUGCCGGGAUUGUCGUAGUUCUGUGGAAAAGGAAACAGAUUUUAAUCAUGUUGUUAAGAGAUUUCAAAAAAUUGAUGGGAAGAUAUAUGGAAGAGAAAAUACUGGCUGUCCAGCAAUGUCAAGAAUAGAUCCAAACAUGUGAUUGAAGUGGUGACAAAUGAUAGUUGACAGACUGCUUGGAAGAAAGCAGAAGAACUGAACAUGAACAGGGAAACACUGGGAUUGAUAAUAAUCAAAGAUCUGAAUAUUCAGAAAGCCUGUACCAGAAUGGUACAGAGCUAUUUUAGCAUUGAGCAAAAAAUUGGAAAAGUAACUUGCUCAGGUCUUUGAGCAAGAUUGUUUAAAGAACUUGAUCUUUAAAUGAAGUAGCAACUGGUGUGGACCAAAACCAAGAAGUUCAUAUUCUUCAAGGCAGAAGAAGUAUGAGUGAAAAUCAAUGUACUUUUUUAUGUUGAAGGAAUUAUCCAUUAUGAAUUUUUUUCCUUUAAAGCAAAAGUUAAUCGAGCGUUGUACUUUCAAGUUAAGAAUAUUUAUGGCAGUAUGAAGAUGGCUGUCUUCUGGGUUGUUGCACUGCCUCUGGAAUGUCAGUAAACUUCUACCAGACUACAUGGUGCAACAACCCGCUGCUGUGAAAACCUCAUUACCCCAGCAGUGCAUUCAUCAAGAAAGACCAGAGAAGUUGGCUUUGUAUGAUGACAAUGCUGUUUCUUGCAUAAUGCUUUCAGUAGAGCAAUUUUUGUCUGGAAAAUAAUGUGAGCAUUCAUUCAGAGCAAUGUGAUGGCAGUUCUGAAAGAACUUUCAGAAAAUGAUUUCUAGAAAUAUUGCUAGACAUGACAGAUCUUGGAAUGCAUGUUUAGGUCAGGAUGAGUGCUUUGAAGGUUGCUACACUUGACAGAUGAAGUAAUGAUCUUGAUGAGAUAUGGUAAACGGGAUUUAACAGAAGCAUGUAGGUGGCCCUUGAAAUAAAAAUUACGUAAAACCUUCUCAGCCUAACAGCUGUUUAUAAAAUAGGACUGAUAAAUGAGAGAAAAAACAAUCCUUGUGUCUUGUUAAUAAUGCAAUGUCAGUUUAAAUUUCUGCACAUACACAUUUUUGAUGACUAAUCCUGCUGUUACCAUUUUCAAUACCAUGUGAUUCCAGGUGAUAGUGUCCAUCAAAUAGAAUAUCUUGAAGGCAGUGACUGCACAGUGAAUUCAUUGAUCUACAUUAAUUUCCUUUUAGUUAGUUUGUACUGUUAUUUGUAGAAUUAUGUUUUUAUGGGCAGCCUGUAUUUGACAGACAGACUCAUGUUUCUAGAACAUUACCAGUACAUGCCUAUGUAUGGCGUGUCUAUUUUUGGGCAGGGUAGGGGUGAUUGUUUGCUUCCUCUCUCAGACAUCGUGGGAAAGAGAGCCGUAAUGGAUUCCGCAAAUGGUUCUGUCGAGCUAUCGUUUUAUAAAAAAAUGUACAUCUGUUGUUUGAUUAGCCAAUAUCAGUGAAUAAACUGCUUUUGCAACUCGGA